AAUCAUUAAUUAUUUCGAUGGAGCCAUAACAUUUAAAAGAAGAAGAAGAAUAUCUUCACUUUAUUUCUGCCGAAAUGGAUUCGGUGGAGCGUAUAACAAAUUCCUUUAUAAUAAUAUGAUGGGCAUAUUUAUUUAGUUCUUAUUCGGAAUCCUCAAGGGAAAUAUAUACCAAAUAUAGACCAUACCUUUGUACCUCCAUCUAUUUCCUACAGUACUAUUACAGACAUGGAUGAAUUUAUUAAUGAAUUAAAAGACAAAUUCUACGUUAAUAAAAUUGCAAGUGCAUUGAGUGCUAUUACCAAUAAACAAGGCAGAUAAGACGGAGGCAGAUGCAAAUAAUCUUGGCUCUACAUCUGGUGGGUCGCCAAGACAAAUAGUACAAAAUGUUACCGACUCGGUAUCGGAAACAGUAACCAAGCA